ensembl:lncRNA
UGGGCUGAGCGAGAGCGCGGGCGGGCCGCGGGGGCCGGGCAUGGUGCUCUGAGGCGCUCUCGUUUCGCUGCGAGGGUCUGCUGAGGGUCAAUUGAUUUGCCUUUCAGCGCGGGGGGAGAAAGAGUUUUAACCCCGUUUUUUUGUUAGUGGAGACCUGUAAAGAGAAGGAAAUGAAAACUGAAAUAGUCACACGGUGUUGUGUCCCUUCCAGCUAACUGCUACGAAACACUCCUUGCUGCAGCGUGGGCUUGCACAGAUUCCUGUGCUUCCGCCUCAAGAAGCACAGACAAGCAUAAGGAAGUCUCAGGGCAAAUCCUGUUUAGGAGACAGCUGCACAGAAAAGAUAAUUCAAGAGUAGACCAUAGCAGGUCAAAUAUGAAGAGUGGCUUCCCACCUCUGCUCCCAGCAGUACGUGCUAGCCAAAAGCUGUUAGGGAGUUGUUUCCAGACAACUGAGAGCAUUUUAAAGGCCACACUCACCUGGGUGUUGGGUUUGAAUAGCAGAUUUUCCCUUCUGUAGAUUCUCCCUUCUCGUCUGGUGUUACAGUGUGAGCUCCCAGCCUUGUUUCAGUGUGCUUGCUCUCUGGGCUGAAGACCACAUAUUAGCUCGGAGCAGCAUUCGGGCAGCACUUUUAACAAGGAGCUUCUCGUCUGUUUGACAUGGGAGUAGAGAAAAGUUGGGCAGGCCAUGCAGUAUGGGUUCUUACAUAGGCCUCUGUAUGGAUGAGUGUGAUACUUGUGUGCAAAGGACAGGAAAUCUCAGAAGGGAGAACACGUCACUAAGGACAGAGAGAUCAGGACUAGCUCAGCCUGACCACGGAAAUGUCAAUGGGAAGAAGGAGCAGGACACAGUGGCGACCUUCCUUCUGCUGCCCUUGGAAGCUCUGUCUGGGACACGUGCCUUUGACCAGGUGCACCUGGUCAAAGAGGAUCCAGCUGCCCACCCUGUCUGCCUCUCUCCAGUGUGCCCCCUGUGACUGGGGAGAAAAAAAGGACACGAAGCUGCAGAGCGUGAAGCGAGUUGCAGGUCCUGUCUGUCCAAGGGAUCACAUUUGCUGGACCACAUGGGCUGGCAAGUACCAGGGCCAAUGUGACCAAGCCACGGCCCUGAAGAGGGGCCAAGUCUCCUGGGGAGCUGGAGCCCAAAGGGUAAGCAUUUAGUAAUGGAGGCUUCCUGGUUACACUGAAGCUGGGAUGCUACAGGGAUGUCAGCUGUUGAAGGAUUCUGAGUGGCUUUGUUCGAGUUUUAGCCAGGAUGGACAGGAACUGGCUGUUUCUGACACAGGAUGGUGCAGCAGGGCUGGUGGCUGGAAAUAGCCUCCCUCUUGGUGUCCUUUCUGACUCAGAACAGCAGUUCUGAAAGAGCACACAAAAGGGGACAAAAGCCAGAGAGCCAGGUGCAGCCUACACAAAACCUUUAUUAGCAUCCCAGGUGGCAAUAAUGUACUGAACAGGGGAGGGAGAAAAGAAGAGAGAAACCAGCCGUAUCCCACUGCAUGCACAGGACACUCGGGCUCCCAGAAUCUGAGCCAGGUGUUUCCUGGGCUUCAGGAACAAGGUGCCCCCUUUCUGUGAGCUGCUUCAGUCCUCCUCCUCCUCCUCCUCUCUCCGUCACGUCUGUGCAGGGUGUUGGGGCCACCUUUGUGUGCUUGGGAUGCCCAGGAGGCGCAAACCAGCAGCUCAGUGGUGGAUGGUGAAAACCAUCGGUGGAGAGCUGUUUGGUGGGACCAUGCUCCUGAAUGACUUUGGGGUGUCCUGCUGCCCCUCAUGCUUGGGCAGAGCUCCAUGCGAGCACUGUGUGAUGAGCAGGUGGGGACGUUCCUGUCCAUGGAGGGGUGAUGUGUGGAUGUGAGCAGACCUAGUGGCAAUCUCUGUGGGCUGCAGGGCAGCCUGUGUCAGCUUGGCACAGGACUCUGCCGUGGGUCCUAGGACCAGCUUGGGGAGUUUCAAAGCUAUUCACGGUCCUUAUCAGUGGCUGAGCUGAAAAAUGGGUGAGUGCGGUCCCUGGAGAAAGGCGCACUGUGGAUGGUAGGUUGAGGCCUUGUCCUGGAGGGAAGGAUCCUGAGGAGACCUUGAUGGCUGGUCAAGAGAGGCUCUGCAAGGCAGCUGUCAUCUGUGUCAUCUGCUCGUCAUGCAAGAGAGACAAAAUAAAAUAAGGGGCUCUACUGAGUUGCUGUGUGAG